rnacentral:rRNA from 1 species
AACGAACGCUGGCGGCAUGCCUAACACAUGCAAGUCGAACGAGACCUUCGGGUCGAGUGGCGUACGGGUGCGAAACGCGUGGGAACCUGCCAUUAGGUUCGGAAUAACUCCCCGAAAGGGGUGCUAAUACCGGGUAAUGACCUCGGACCAAAGAUUUAUCGCCUUUGGAUGGGCCCGCGUUGGAUUAGCUAGUUGGUAGGGUAAAAGCCUACCAAGGCGACGAGCCAUAGCUGGUUUGAGAGGAUGAUCAGCCACACUGGGACUGAGACACGGCCCAGACGCCUACGAGAGGCAGCAGUGAGGAAAAUUGGACAAUGGGCGAGAGCCUGAUCCAGCGAUGCCGCGUGAGUGACGAAGGCCUUGUGGUUGUAUAGCUCUAUUACCCGGGAUGAUAAUGACAGUACCGGGAGAAUAAGCUCCGGCUAACUCCGUG